rnacentral:rRNA from 1 species
CAGUAGCCGCGGGAAAACGAAGGGGGCUAGCGUUGCUCGGAAUGACUGGGCGUAAAGGGCGCGUAGGCGGAUUGUUUAGUUAGGCGUGAAAUUCCUGGGCCUAACCUGGGGACUGCGCUUAAUACAGGCAGUCUAGAGUGAGGAAGAGGGUUGUGGAAUUCCCAGUGUAGAGGUGAAAUUCGUAGAUAUUGGGAAGAACACCGGUGGCGAAGGCGGCGACCUGGUCCUUUACUGACGCUGAGGCGCGAAAGCGUGGGGAGCAAACAGGAUUAGAUACCCCAGUAGUCCCUGUCUCUUAUAC